rnacentral:ncRNA from 2 species
GAAUAUUAUUAUCUCCGAGCGGGAAUGCCUAAUUAUUUUUUGGCAGCCGGCCAGGGCUUUACAGCCCUCGGGGUGUAUUUGGAAACGAAUAUGCCUUCACUAUGAAAAGGAGGUGGCGAUCGAUGCUU